GAAGCAGAUCCUGUACUUCCCAGGACCUGACUGACGACUCAGGACAGACCGAGGGACAGAGGGAUGACAGUCAGGGGCAAUCUGGGACCAAGAUUUUCUGCAGUGGAAAUUACUGGCUAAAUAAACCUAUCUCCUCAUUGACACAAAGCUAAGAAGAGAGAUCAGUUACAACAAAAAAAAGGAAAGAAAUGUGAUUAUUUCCUAAGUCGAGGCAAGAAUAUUGGAGUGGUUUGCCAUUUCCUCCUCCAGGAGGACUUCGUGACUCAGGGAUCUAACUCUCACCUCCGACAUUGACAAGUGGAUUCUUUACCCCUCAGGCACCUGGGAAGCUCUAUUUCUCCCCAGUGCUUGCCAACAGGAACAUCUGAAAGGUCAUCAGAAGAGGGAAACAAGUAUCUGUGCUGUGGAGGAGCCUGAUCAGAGGCCAUACUGCAGUCAAGGUUUUGCUGACUUCUACUCAAAAGAGGCAUGCACUUGAAGGAGUUCCUUUUCACAGUGAAUACUUGAGUAUAACUCUAGAGGAUCUUCUCAACCCAAGAAGUGAUCCUGCAUCUUCUGCAUUGACAGAUAAGGAAACUGAGGCACAAAGGAGAUGAAAUAACUUGAACAAGAUUCAAAAUCUACUUCAGCUGAAACCUGAACCUUGAUCCAAGUUCAGACGCUGGAUGAUGAAGUUGAAGAAAUUAAACUCUUCUACACGUUUUCUUCCUUUUCCAGUUGGUUUUGGUCCCUAUAGCAUGGUGAUGUCCAGCUAAGCAUGCCCCUUCCAAAUGUAUUCAAUGAUAUUUGCUUGUGAGAACCUCAGUCACAAACACUACUCUCAUUGUCCCAGCAUAAUGCAAAGUCACUGUGGCUCUGGGCAGCAGAGGCUGUGAGUUCCUUUUCAGCUUCAUUAACUAACCUUGAGGAGGCUGGGAUGGGGGAAACGCUAAAACCCAGUUCUCCCAGCCAGCAGCCAGCCUGGCCAGCGGACAGAGGUGGAAUGUGACCAAGGUAUGUCUUGGUUGAUGGUUCACCCCUGGAUGAGGUAGUCCCUGAAAGUUGAUCUUUGGGGAUUUCAAAUCUGUUGAUGAAAACGGGAAUAAAGGAGGGACCUUGAUAAAAAUGUUGAGGUAUGCAGGCAGGAAAUGAUGGCAAAAUUCUCCCCACCCCUAUCAAAGAAAAUGGCUUUAGGAAGUUGAGUCUCUACCCCUGUUCCUGUCUCCCCCUUAUAAAUCUACCCCUAAAUCAUCUUCAGGGAAUUGGACCGGUUGCUUUCUCCCUGGCAAUAACAGGGAAUUCCAACUGCAAGCCAAUUAGAAUACACCCAGAGCUGCCAGUAAAAUCUUUCACUGACUUCACUUUAUUGGUUUCAUAAAACAAGAGAAAGAAAUCAGAGAUAGUCCAGAGCCUCACGGAGAUGCAAGUGUCUUUAUGAAGCAGACUGAAGCCUGCCUCCAUGGGCUCCCCAUUCCACAUCCUUCCUCCACCCAGAUGUUUUUAGCUGCUGCCACCUGCCCACGAUCCUGUGGUGUUAGGACACCAGCUCACAGAUCCGAGCUGUAUAGUCCUUACUUCCCUGGAUAUUUGAUCGA
ensembl:lncRNA